GACGUAGGGCGCGAGCGUUGUCCGGAUUUAUUGGGCGUAAAGAGCUCGUAGGCGGCUUGUCGCGUCGUCCGUGAAAACUUGGGGCUCAACCCCAAGCUUGCGGUCGAUACGGGCAGGCUAGAGUUCGGUAGGGGAGACUGGAAUUCCUGGUGUAGCGGUGAAAUGCGCAGAUAUCAGGAGGAACACCCGUAGCGAAGGCGGCACUCUGGGCCGAUACUGACACUGAGGAGCGAAAGCGUGGGGAGCGAACAGG
rnacentral:rRNA from 1 species